UUAGGAAUUUUGGGCAAUGGGCGCAAGCCUGACCCAGCAACGCCGCGUGGGUGAAGACGGCCUUCGGGUUGUAAAGCCCUUUUCGGGGGGACGAUGAUGACGGUACCCUCGGAAGAAGCACCGGCUAACUACGUGCCAGCAGCCGCGGUAAUACGUAGGGUGCGAGCGUUGCCCGGAUUUAUUGGGCGUAAAGGGCGUGUAGGCGGCUGCUUGCGUCCCGUGUGAAAGCCCCCGGCUUACCUGGGGGAGGACGCGGGAGACGGGGCGGCUGGAGCAAGGUAGGGGGCCAUGGAAUUCCCGGUGUAGUGGUGGAAUGCGUAGAGAUCGGGAGGAACACCAGUGGCGAAGGCGGUGGCCUGGGCCUGUGCUGACGCUGAGGCGCGAAGGCGUGGGGAGCGAUCCGGAUUAGAUACCCCCGUAGUCC
rnacentral:rRNA from 1 species